CAGGUAGUAGUUUAUUAAGAAUUUUAGCUUUGGGAGUUAAAGGUGGGGAUUGAUUUCUUCCUACUUGA
rnacentral:tRNA from 1 species